GGACAUUUGGCCGGGACAUCUGUCAUCCAGUUGGUCAUCAUGGUUGAUCUAGCUGGUCUGGCUGUUGAGGAGGGAACUCACUGGUCCAUGUGCUUCUUCCAAAGCUGCACGGUUGGAUGAGGAAGAUGGCCUUCUCCAACAGAGGACUGCUGUUUGGUCAGUGGUAUAGAGGUCAUUGUACUUCUCUACCAGGAUCUCCAGAGGGCUCUAGGAAAUCAGAACUUGUGUCCCCAUGAGAGAAGAUGAAGCCUGGCCAGCCACAAGGGCAAUCAGCUUGUUCCU
rnacentral:snRNA from 1 species